AAAUAAUUUAGGAUGUGUCUAGUUGGAAGUGCUCACACAAUGGAGAAAGUAAUUUUUCUUUCAGAGGUAAGUUACCUUGACCUCAGGCCUCCUUGCUAUUCUUCUUUCACAGUACCUUCUGCCAUUCUGCUGGGGCCAAUUAGUUCUUGGCUCAGCUGUUUUAGUUUCUCUACAGAAGUUGGGCUUAACCAUGUUUAUAAUAUGUGAAAAUCAAAUUCCAUUUUUUUCUUCUAAGAGAGCUAGAACAUUAAAUUCCCUGCCAGUGAUCUAAAACACAUCGAAUUGUAUAUCUUCAAAUGCAAAAGGUUUAUUUUUUCCAAACUUACAGGAUUUAAAGAUGACGAGGCCUUAGAAAUAGUGGUUAUUAUAUGUUAGUGAUGAUUAUUUUAGUUCUGCAGAUA
rnacentral:lncRNA from 1 species